ensembl:lncRNA
CGCUGUUGCUGAUGAGACCUACCACAGUUGUGUCAUCCGCAAACUUGAUGAUGUGGUUGGAGCUGAACUUGGCAGUGCAGUCGUGGGUCAGCAGCGUGAAGAGCAGUGGGCUGAGCACACAGCCUUGUGGGGCACCUGUGCUCAGUGUGGUAGUGCUCGAGGUGUUGUGGCCGACAUGGACUGACUGAGGUCUUCCAGUUAGAAAGUCCAGGAUCCAAUUACAGAGGGAAUUGUUAAGGCCCAGCAGGUUUAGUUUCUUAAUGAGCUGUUGUGGGAUUAUUGUGUUGAAUGCUGAGCCGAAUUCGAUGAACAGCAUUCUGACAUAGGAGUCUUUAUUUUCUAGGUGGGUAAGAGCCAGGAGGACAUUGAUAAGAGAAGCUACCAGGAGGCCAAAGGCAACUUUGAAGGACUUACAAG